UACAUAGUGACUUGAUGACCUGGGAAGGACCCAAAUUUGCUCAUCUUUGAAAUGAGAAGUUUAAACAACUUCCUGCUGGUGGGAAAAAGCUACAUAUCAUUUCCUUCUGAAAAUGAGAACAAAGGAAGAGACAAUUUGAACACAUAGACACCAGGGACACCCAAACAAAAGAAUGACUACAUGCAGACAAAGCAACAAGAUGGACAUCUACAAGCCAAACAGAGAAUCCUCUGGAACCAACUCUGUCCACACCUUGAUCUUGAAUUUCCAGCCUCCAGAACUGUGAGAAAAGAAAUUUCUGUUGUUGAAGCCACAUGGCCUGUAGCAUUUUGUUUUGGCAGCCCUAUGGCAUCCAAUUUGGGAUAAUUGAGACUUCAGAUUCACACUGAGCCCUAUAGUACAAUAUAGAACAAGCCAUUUGUGGUGUCUUUUUACUCCAGACCUGUGGGCAGUGUGGUCAAAGAAGACUUCUGCAGACAAAGGC